GAGCACGUAGGUGGGUUUGUAAGUCAGAUGUGAAAGCCUUCUGUUCAACGGAAGAAUUGCAUCUGAAACUGCGAGUCUUGAGUGUAGGAGGGGAGAAUGGAACUUCUGGUGGAGCGGUGAAAUGCGUAGAUAUCAGAAGGAACGCCGGCGGCGAAAGCGAUUCUCUGGCCUAUCACUGACACUCAGUGUGCGAAAGCUAGGGGAGCAAACGGGAUUAGAUACCCCGGUAGUCCUAGCCGUAAACGAUGGGCACUAAGUAGAGGGGUUUU
rnacentral:rRNA from 1 species